UACGUAGGGGGCAAGCGUUGUCCGGAUUUAUUGGGCGUAAAGAGCGUGUAGGCGGCCAAGCAGGUCCGCUGUGAAAACUCGAGGCUCAACCUCGAGAGGUCGGUGGAAACCGUUUGGCUAGAGUCCGGAAGAGGAGAGUGGAAUUCCCAGUGUAGAGGUGAAAUUCGUAGAUAUUGGGAAGAACACCGGUGGCGAAGGCGACCAUCUGGACGACAACUGACGCUGAGGCGCGAAAGCGUGGGGAGCAAACAGG
rnacentral:rRNA from 1 species